ACUCUAGUAGCACACCCCACUAAAGCACUGGCCGUAAACCAAAGAUUGAAGACUAUAAUCUUCCUAGAGUA
rnacentral:tRNA from 1 species